GAUGAACGCUAGCGGGAGGCUUAACACAUGCAAGUCGAGCGGCAAGGCAGCAAUGCCCUAGAGCGGCGCACGGGUGAGUAACGCGUAUGCAACCUACCCUUUACAGGGGGAUAGCCCGUCGAAAGGCGGAUUAAUACCCCAUAGUACUAUUUUGUCGCAUGGCAGAAUGGUUAAAGUACCAACGGUAAAGGAUGGGCAUGCGUGACAUUAGUUAGUUGGCGGGGUAACGGACCACCAAGACUACGAUGUCUAGGGGUUCUGAGAGGAUGAUCCCCCACACUGGUACUGAGACACGGACCAGACUCCUACGGGAGGCAGCAGUGAGGAAUAUUGGUCAAUGGGCGCAAGCCUGAACCAGCCAUCCCGCGUGAAGGAUGAAUGCCCUAUGGGUUGUAAACUUCUUUUAUGUACCAAGAAUGGCCCCGACGUGUCGGGGUUUGACGGUAGUGCAUGAAUAAGCAUCGGCUAACUCCGUGCCAGCAGCCGCCGUAAGAC
rnacentral:rRNA from 1 species